UGGUUGGUAUCAAAUCCAUAUAAAGAUGCAGAAUCAAAACCACAGUAGCAAAGCUUUUUUUUAUCUUAUUCUUCUUCAUCUUUGGCCAAGGAGACAAGGAAGCUGGUAACUUUUGAUACAUGAAGGAGAUAAACAGAUCAAGCCGUUCUCUUUAUGAUAUGGACUCCACUGUCUGUGUCCACAAUCUCGCUUAUAUCUCCCACCUUCAGUGCGUAUGUUGCUUCCUCAAACGGCUU
rnacentral:lncRNA from 1 species